AUGCCCGAACGCCAGUGACCCAACCCUCCAUCAGUGGACACAAGCGUGACAGCUGCGAGAGAAGCGAGCAGCUGUAUCUUAAAAGAAUACGUCGCGGAGGCGAUAGGAAUCGCGGAGGCGAUAGGAAGAGGAGCUUGUGUUUAGUGAUGAGGGAGGGAGCUGUCGAAGGUGGAGCCGAUGACUGGGGUGAAGUCGUAACAAGGUAGC
rnacentral:rRNA from 1 species